CAUCGAUCAGGCUCAUAGGGAGUCAGCAAAUCACCGAUAUAGGCAGGAGCCAGACCAUUCAAGGCUUUAAAAACAAGCAGUAAAAGCCUAAAAUCAAUUCUAAAACUCACAGGUAACCAGUGAAGGGCAGCAAGGAUUGGUGUGAUGUGGUCGCUUCUCUUGGUACGAGUUGGUCAAUUCAGGAAGAAAGUCA